UUACAGCCAUAUCAUGUUGAAACACGGAUUCCCAUAUGAUUACUGAAGUUAAGCAACGUUGAUCCUCGUCAGUACCGAGAUGGGUAACCACUUGGGAAUACUAGGUGCC